CCGAGCACGCGCGUGUGGCAUAUCAAUAAGCGGAGGAAAAGAAACUAACAAGGAUUCCCUUAGUAACGGCGAGUGAAGCGGGAAGAGCUCAAAUUUGAAAUCUUCAAGGUUUUACCUUGACGAAUUGUAGUUUAAAGAAGUGUUUUCUGUUGGGAGUUUUCGGUAAAAGUUCUUUGGAAUAGGACAUCAUAGAGGGUGAGAAUCCCGUAUUUGACCAUUUCUUCCAGCUGUGUGAUACACUUUCAAAGAGUCGGAUUGUUUGGGAAUGCAGUCCAAAAUGGGUGGUAAAUUUCAUCUAAAGCUAAAUAUUGGCGAGAGACCGAUAGCGAACAAGUACCGUGAGGGAAAGAUGAAAAGAACUUUGAAAAGGAGAGUUAAACAGUACGUGAAAUUGUCAAAAGGGAAGCGUUUGACACCAGUGUUGUUUUUCCGAAAAUCAAUUACGAAUGUUUUGUUUUUGAGGAGUUAUGACUUCCAUCGGCUUGCUUCUUUCUUUACGAAACUUUCUUAAUGCACUUUUCGGUUAACAAGUCGACAUCAAUUUCUUUUGUUGUAAAAGGGUAUGAGGAAGGUGGCUUUCUUUUCGGAGAAAGUGUUUAUAGCCUUGUAGCCUCUGCAAUCGGAGAGAUUGAGGUCUGCAGCGUAGAUCCUUCGGGGUUAGAUACAUUUGUGCUAAGUUAUAGCUUUUCAUAGACAACUUGUUGACUAUGUUUAGUCUUGUAGCUUACUCGCUUAUGCUAUUUUACCUACGCUUAGGAUGUUGAACUCUAUCACACACAG
rnacentral:rRNA from 1 species